rnacentral:rRNA from 1 species
AUGGGGCCGAGCGAUGGGGGAUGCUACAAGCUGCUCGCCGCCGGUGCUAGAGCCGGCCAGGAUGGGAGCUACAACUGGCAAACUUUUUUGCUACAACCGACUACACAUAUGCUGGAACCGGCCGUUUUUUUAGCUACAACUCGCGGAGCAGCAACGGUGGCAUGUUGUUUUUGCUGGAACCGGCACCUGGAUUUGCUGGAACUGGCGAUCAAAAUUGCUACAUCCAUCGCUGCGAGCAAACCUCCAAGUGCUGGAACCGACGACUUGUUUUGCUGCAAUCGGCAAGAAGUUUGCUGGAACCAGCAAAUGCUCGAUACUGGUUUGGGGCGUGACGGCGAGCUACGACCGGCCGACCAGAGAAAAAGCUACAAUAAUAUUCUAGAAAAGCAACAAUGGUGGUACACGAAGCUGCAACCCAUCGUGCGACGAGCACCGGCGACCAGAGAAAAAAGCUGCAAUUGUUUUCCGAGAAGCUACUACCGGCGACAUCAAUUUGUUACCACCAUUCAUGGCGGUGACCGGCAACUGGAAUUGGCGCUGCUACAACUGUGCUUAUGGGAGCUGCAACCAUCGGAGCUUUUUCGUCGGAGAAUGCUACCACGUUGUCUCGCACAAGCUACAACCAUACACGCGCAAAGCUGCAAGCAUUGUUGUUUUUGCUACAACCACUGCUACGAACUGCAGCCAACAGGCAUCGGGAGAAAGGCGCGUUGUUCGUAG